AGGAAUACCAAAAAAAGGCAAACGGUAAUUACUGCACUCACAUGCAGUGCACAUGUUUCAUAAUUGCCUUCUCCUUAUUUUUCGCACCACUAUCACCCUCAGCAGCUCAAUGAGGUAUGUGUAUGUUUCUGCUGAAGAUUUGAGUUUUGUGGGUAUAUCUGUGGAUUCUCUAUGGGACUGAUUGUUAGUCUUGUUUUUGAGAACAAGCAUUGCAUCUUAAUUUUAGGUAAAACUAGUGCUUUCUGUAUGUUAAUUUUUAAACACAAAUGCUUCUAGGAGUGGGCAGCUCAAAUCGGCCGCCGAAUAACCAAGCUUAGGAUUACCCUUAUCUCUAUAUUUCAUCUCUGAUUUGUUGAUUCAUAUGAGAAAAACAUUUAGUUUCGCUUCAUUACAAUUUGCAGUGCACAUAGUAUUUUUGACCAAAUUGCAUUUAGUACUGCCAAGUCUGUGUUUUGGUAUUCAACUGUUUUAUUUUUUGUGUUCGAAUUUGUUGCUGGAAGACCUAUGAUGGAUAGAACUAGGUGAUGGGGGAGUGAGGAAUGGAACUACAAAGGUUAUGCAAAUGGUUUCAUCUAUUCAACAUGUCUACAAGUAUAAGCUACGCUCUAUAUUUGGCUUCAUAUAUAUUAUUGACUGGUUCUUUACUUCCUUUUCGGUGCUUCUUUGUUUAAUCCUUCUUGCAAUUUGUUCUAAUUUUUCUUUUCAAUUACUGUAAUUGUAAUUUUCCCCUCUUUCCCUUGAGUGGGUGAGUAAAUCACCUAUUCAAUAUUAGCAUUCAGCAUCAUCUCAUCAAUCUCUGCAUGUAGCCUUGUGGGUUCUUUACUUUCUGUUUUACCAAUUUGGAGUUGGCUCUAUACUGCUGCUGCGAAUAUAAUGAAAUUGAAAGACAAAACUUUUGCACCGGGAGCUCUUAAAAGUUUACAUUUUGAGAAUUACUGGAUAAUAUCAGAGUAUAUAGUGUACACAGUACACACAUAUUGUAGCUACUGCUCUCUCAUUCUAUUGCUUAAUCUACUUAAUGAGGUCAUGGAAAGGGAUUCUCUUAGGAUUGCAAUAUUUCCUAAAAAUUUGUCACUUGAUUUAAACAACUGUCUUUCUUUUAAAUUCAGAUGAAAGUAUGCAUGCAGGGUCUCCAUUUCUCUGUCUUUUUAUUGCAUCUAAAUGUUUUUAUGAUGACUUGUUAUAACUUACUGGAGAUGCAUUGAUAAAAUUUAUGCUUGGUCUUUGAAUUACAACCAGAUUUUUGGGUUAGGAAUUUGUCAAGUGUGAACUUGAUAAGUGAAAUUUCUAGCUUCGCAUGUGUGUCUGCUGCUUCUUCUUGCAUAGACUGACUUCUGAGUUCAUUUUCUGUUUCAUGAUACCAGCCUUAGAUGUUUCUAUCUAAUGCAACCUUGUAUUUAUAGAUUUCAGACAAUGAUUAUAAGCUGAUUUGAUAUAUGUUUUCAACCGUAAUGAUAUAAUUAGGAGUUUGUCUCGAGUAUUGCUUGCAUAGUUCCCGUGAACUCUAGUAUGUUGAACUGCUAGAACUCACUGACAGUUAUGUUAUUAAGAAAGUGUCACGGAGCUUUACCCAAUGUGAAAUCUCAAGUUCAAUGGUCUUAGUCUUUGUAUGAUUUAGGAACUUGUAUCCAAGUGAAAAUGAGCUACUCUAUUUCUCCCAUUGUAAUGGAACUUGGGUGGUAGUUGGGCUGCUGUAUCUUAAUAGGAUCUUUAUCUGUUGGAGCUCCAACAACUUGGACUAUAAUUGUAAUCAAUCAAACUCACUGUGCCUAUUGGAAACGUGUGUGAAUGGAAUCUUGAGAAGAAAUAAAGUGAGCAAUCCACUAUGAAGGAACCUAGUGUCAAUUGGAAGCUGUUGAUAGUGUGGUUUCGAAUAAGCUUUAGAUAGUAUGGGUUUCGAAGGGUUUUUUGGCUGGACUAGUUUAGUGGGGUUUUGGUGUGGUUUCGAAUAAGUUUUAGAUAGUAUGGGUUUUGAAGGGGCUUUUAGCUGGACUAGUUAGUGGGGUUUCGGUUUCAUAUUUGGGUUUCUUUUGGGAGGUGGGUGUACUUCAAUGGAGUUGUUCUAGAGGUUUUUCAAGGAUUCAGAACUGGGUUUGUGGAGGAAUUCAGGAAUUCAGUUUGUUCUAGUAUAUCUACAGGUAAUGUUGCAGGUCAGUUUUGCCAGAAGAUUUAGUGGGUUCUUGCAGAUUUUUGCAGGCAGUUAGUAAAGAAAAGAUGCAUUUUUCUGCUUUUGAAGGUUCUUAAAGACUUGGUUUGAGGAAUUGGUGUUUGGUUCUUCAGCUUUUUAAUUUUUAGGCUAAUUUUGGCUUAGAUAGUAUGGGUUUCGAAUAAGUUCUGAUUCCAGUUUAUGGAUAAAAUUAUGUUGCUGCAAUGAGUGGGGUCUAAACAUGGAUUAGAUCCAAUGCUAGAUCUAGUUUUAGUGGGAUCUGAGUAGCAAUUCAGGAUUUAAAGUCAAGCCAGCAACUGGCAGGAAAAAUUGGUUGUGACCUCUACCCGUUCUGUGGAAAGGACGCCCUCUAACCUACUGAGGCUGCUAGAGUCUUUGAAAGUCAAUUGGCAGAGUCCAUCUUGGAAGGUAAUGGGCAACUUGCAUUUCAAAAGCUUGCAACUACAACAAUUGAAAAACUAAUGCCGAUGAUAGAAGGGAACGGAGAGUUUGGUCAGGCAAGGUGGAGGCUAGUGUAUGCACCAGAGACCCUAGCUUGCUUUCUGUUGAUCCUACUGUAGAUCCUCUCAAAUCCCUGGCCAGUAAUAUUUCAUUUGGUACAGAAGUUGAAGUCCAACUUGGGAAAACGUCUUCGGGUAUUUUUCAAGCAAACUCCUUAAUCUGCUUUCUAUAUUGUUGCAACUCACAUUUGAUAUUCUCCAAAUGCAUUGGUUCUUCAAAAGUUUUGGAAACUUUGUGUGCAACAGCUCAGUAUUUCAGGUAUUCAAGUUUUAUAAUUUCCUCUACGGCGUAGUAGUGAUAUUUUGAGUUCAGGCUCACUUGUUCAGUUACGACUGGACAUAUAUGCAUGCAGGUGAUGGCGUCAAAAGGCCUCAAGUGACAACAAUUGUGGGAGAAGUAAGAGAAGAACACUCAGAGAAAGGUUUGCUGCCAACAAAUCGAUUCAUGUUGCUACUAGAUUCCACAUUAGUGUGUUUGAAGGUAUUUUGUUGAAGUCCGAAGUAGCUGCUGUAAAAUCUGAUGUGGGGAGGCUCAGACCAACGGUGGGAUGUUUGGAACCCAAUAUUGAGACAUUGACACAAAAAAUAAUUGAAGUAGCAGAGUUGUUCUGAGAACUGAGAGUUGGUUUGUACUUUAGCACUCCAAAUUUGUAAUGACUGACCAUCUGAGGUUCAUCAUCUACUGCAGAUGGGAAAGUGUUGCAGAUUUGUUUUAUUUUCAGUCUAUGUUAAAUCACCGAAUAUGUAUUGUGUCCAGUUAGUAUGUUUUGUUUGUGUGAACUGAAAUAUAUGUCCAGUUUCUAAAUUAUUUAUAUGUUUUUGUGCAGGUUCUUUGUUUGGUGAAGACUUGAUUGUGCAAACGUACAGCAAACCUUUGCAACUUUUUGGGAAUUGAUACAAUUUUUGUAUCAAACAUUACAACGUUUUUGGGAAUUGAUGAGGACUUGAUCAGUUCUUGUAUCAAAUCAGUUUUUGUAGCCUUAGUGGCUUAGUACCUCAGUGCAAUUAAUCAGUGAGACUCUGAGGAACUGAGAAUGUGAGUUUGAGACUUGAGUUUAUGUGGGAUUUGUAAUUAUUUGUAUCAACUAUCAACUCAGGUUCUGAAAUAUCAAAGUAUUCAGUGAUG